UACGUAGGGUGCAAGCGUUAAUCGGAAUUACUGGGCGUAAAGCGUGCGCAGGCGGUUGUGCAAGACAGAUGUGAAAUCCCCGGGCUUAACCUGGGAAUUGCAUUUGUGACUGCACGGCUAGAAUCUGGCAGGAGGGGGGUAGAAUUCCACGUGUAGCAGUGAAAUGCGUAGAUAUCAUUUGGAACGCCAAUGGUGAAAACAGGUAGCUGGGGCUGUGCUGACACUGAGACACGAAAGCCAGGGGAGCGAACGGG
rnacentral:rRNA from 1 species